GCCCCUGUGAUGUGAGUAACUGCCCCGAGGGUGUGAGUAACCCCCUGUGAUGGGAGUAACUGCCCUGAGGGUGUGAGUAACCCCCUGUGAUGUGCAAGUGUCAAGUGGCAGUGCAGCCUCAGCACCCAGGUGGCUGUGACAGGACACGGCUGUGACAGGACACAGCGUGACGGGUGAGCCUGGAUGGUGCAUCCAGAGGAGUCUGGUGCCAGCACGAGGGAGUCCCCUCUCAGCAGGGGAGGGAUCCUUCACUGUUUACCCAAAGGAGUUUAUGAAUCUGACUCUUGGCACUUGGGAGAGGGAUUAGGAUUGGGAGUUUGAGAAUGUGUUUCAGGGGAUGUGGGUGCAGUAGAGCUGCUCUGGGCAGGAGUGGUGGCCAGGGGGAGGCUGGGCAGGCACUGCUCAGUAGGACAAGCUGCUGACUUUGAGAACAGACAGACCCAGCCCAGGACAAAUUAUGUAACUGCUGCUUUUUCAUCAGUCUGUUCCCCUGACUUCUCUUUGCAGGUUAAUUGACUCUAUUUGUGUGUCAAGGCCACUUAGAGCUUUCUUCUAUAAAUGACUCCUGCCUCAUCUGAUGGCACAGUUAAAUGUCUGAAUUGUUUCUAAGAUCAAAAAAAAGUGGAACUGAAACUUUUCUAGGCAGUUGAUGUGGAAGCAUGGGAUCCUUGCUGAAUGGUUACUCUUUUUUUUUUUUUUUUUUGCUAGCUUUGGUCUGGCUUUCUUUCCGUGCAGGAUGGAGACAGGGGCUUUCAAGUGAUGCAUUUUGUGGAGAUUUGGGCUGGGCUGGGCCUUGGCUGCCUGGAGACACCAGCUCUGCUCAGAGGCCUCCCCCAUGGAGGAGGUUGGGGGUGGGAGUCCCACACUAGCACUGAAAAUUGAGGGUAGUCCAUCAACAAGAGACUCUAAAUUGUAUUUCAAGACCAAACAGCAUCCUUGGACCAGGGAUGUGGGAUUUUACCUGGGGCCCAUUUGUAGAAGUUACUGGAUGAGCUGCUGCAAACUGCUUUAUAGGUGGAGUUGGAUUAAAGGAUCUGACCAAAAUUAUUCAUGAUGCUCUAUUUGCAGUAUGUGUCAUUUUGAAGUCUUACAGCACCUGGUCCAUCUACUUUUUCAUUGGGCUUGUUUGUGCAGGAAAGUCAAGUUUCAUACAAAAAUCUCUUUUAGUUCUUUGGCUGUUGAAGCUUCAGUGGGAAACAUGGGGAAAAUUCUGUUUUUCAAGACUUGCUCCAUAUUCAGAUGGUCCAAAGCCAGUUUUUAUUCAAUCUGGUCUUAGUGUUGGAUAAAUAGAUCAAUUUGAUCUAUUUAUAAUGAGAAAUAAGAGAAUGGAGAAAAGUUUGGCUAGUCCCCCCUGAGUUGUGGGUCUAAAGUAUGCUCUCCAACACAAGCAGCCCUUAACUCUCCCUAGCAGGGGUCGUGUCAGAGUGCAGGGCAGUGUGAGGAGCAGCCUGCACCCUCUCACUUGUGCUCUGAGCUGUCACUGCAGACAAUGGACUCAGGUGCCUCCUCCAGCCCAGGUGAGACGUGCCUUGAGUGCAUCUCUGAGAUGGCAGCAGAUGCCAAAGGAUCCCUGUGAGUGGGCUGGGAGCUGUCUGUGGACAGGGAGACACAAAAAACCACAGCCUGAAGGCCAUGGGAACAGGCUUGGAGGAGCAGCCACCCAGCUCUGAUGGGUCCCAGCAAGGCCUGGCUCAGUCAGACGAUGUUUGCUUUGCCCUUCCCUCCUCCUUUUGCCUUUUCCAGGGUGGCUCUGCCAGUCUUUAGCACCACUGUUCCAAGUGCCCUUCCCCUGGACUGAAGGGGUAAAUCCAGCCCCGAGGGGAUGGCACUGUGACACCUCACUGAAGGGGUAAAUCCAGCCCCGAGGGGAUGGCACUGUGACACCUCACUGAAGGGGUAAAUCCAGCCCCGAGGGGAUGGCACUGUGACACCUCACUGAAGGGGUAAAUCCAGCCCUGAGGGGAUGGCACUGUGACACCUCACUGAAGGGGUAAAUCCAGCCCUGAGGGGAUGGCACUGUGACACCUCACUGAAGGGGUAAAUCCAGCCCCAAGGGGAUGGCACUGUGACACCUCACUGAAGGGGUAAAUCCAGCCCCGAGGGGAUGGCACUGUGACACCUCACUGCCUGCCUGAGGAGGGUCCUCCCAGGCAGGAGGCCCUGGCACGGUGCUGCUGCACCAUUUCUCUCUUCACAGCCACAGCUGGGCUCCACAGAGGUAUUUCUGCUUUGCUGAAGCCUGAAUCAAAGCCAUCAGCCACUUGCCCUGUGGGGUCACACUCUGCUGGGCUGGUGAGGAGACACAGGAUAUUCCCAUCACUGUUCUCAGUCGUGUGGCUGUGCCAAGGCAGAGGAAACACAAAGGUAAGACCAUGUAUCCUCUGGGGUGCAAGGUGCUGGUGGCCACCCACAGCCCGUGGUGUUGGAGUGUGCAGAGGCAGCAGGUGCUCAGCAGCUCCUCUCUCUGGAGCAUCCCUUGUGCUUGGGAAGCUGGAUGUGCCCAGUCCUGCUGCCCUGGCCCUGCUGUGACCCUCAGCGAGGUUUGGGACAGGCAGGGCCCCAGCAGUGCUGGCAGCAGGAGGACGGGUGACGCACAGGUCACACAUCAUGAUGCCACUUGUGCUAUUGCAUAAAUCAAGGGGAUUUGGGUGAGGGUAACGAGGGCAACUUGGGGCUCUGAGCUGGGGAGGAUGAGGCCUUGGAAGAUUUUAAUUUUCUACACUGAGCAGUCCAAGGGUGGGGGCUGUGGCCACACUUGGACUAGUGGGGAUAGACUGAGGGUAGCCCACGCUGAGGAGGGAGGUGGGCUGCAGUUCCCCCCACCAGGCUCUCACCCCUCUGCCAGCUUUGCUCAAUUAUGGGAAAUCCUUUAAGCUUUUGCAUUAGUGCUGUAUUUAGGUCUGCACUGUAUUAGGGCUUGGCAUAGGGAGCACAGUGAGCUUUCUCACUUAAUAAAGAAUGUUUUAAAGGCAUUUGUCACCGUGCCCGCUGCCGGGAGCCAGCUCUCUGGGCAGGCAGGGAGGGUGCUGUGGGAGGUGAGGGAGCUGGGCUGGCUCCAAGGCCUGCUGUGCUUGGCCCUGGCCAGGUCCCAUCCCUGUCCCUGUGCUGCCACACUGAACAUUGGGACAGAGGGUCCCGGUGUGCCCCCAUUGCCCACCCAGCCUGGGGGUACCUCAGGGCUGCAGCUGGUGACCUCCCCACCCAGCUGCUGGCAAAGCCCAGCCGCCCUCCUGCGAGGCUGCAGCGCUGCUGUGCUGGCGGGAGGCCCCUCCUGCUGGCAGUGAAUGUGUCACCGGGAUCGUGAGUCACCAACACCCACUGCCAGCAGCCAGCCUGGCCGGUCCUGGGCCGGGCUGCAGGGCAGGAGUGGGACAGAUCUGCCUCCUCCUGCUCCUCUGCCUCUCCCUCCUGCAGCCUCACCAGCCUGCAUCUCCCACAGGGCACCAAAUGAUGGGGUGUGCCUCAGGCAGCGCUUACCUGGGGCUGAGGUGACAGGCAGCUUCCCUGGAGCAGGGUGGGGAUGUAUCCCCCCACAGCCCUGCUCACAGCAGUCUGACCUGCCACAGCUCUACCCCUGGAUCUUGGACAGCUUGGCAAGGAUGAGGCUGAGGGGGCUGCCUGCAGAAAUGUGUGUCCCCUGGACUGCAAGUAGCUGAAGCUGGGGCUGGGCCAGCUCAGGGUGUGCUGCUGGGAGCCAGGAGGAGCCUCUGGACUCCCCUUUCUGUGUGGAUUUUUCUUUUAAUCUGGUAAUUGUUCAGCCAACAGUAUUAGAUAUAGAUUUUUUGAGCCUCUGGUGAUGGGCUGUGGCAAAUGUCCCACACUCUUGUGGUGGGCAAAGCUCAACCUUUGGUUUGAGGGCAAGUGAGGAGCCUUCCCUCCCUGCUCAGCCUCCUGAGUGGCACUUCAGCAUUUUGAUCCUUGUCCCCAAACUCCAACCCCUGCAGUCAUUGUGAGGGCCACAACCUGGAGAAAGCCAGGCUUCUGCAUCAGACCAUGGCUACUCAUGAAGGACAGGAGAGAAGAUGGGCUGUGGCUCAAGCGACAUCCCUGGGCAAGCCCAGUGUAAGUGCAUGUGGCAGCCCCCUUGUUGGGGGCUCAGCCUGAGCCCUGGCAGCCUCUUCCCCUUUCCCUCGGACCUGCUGAGUGAGCAGGAAAAGCAAAAUUUUGUGGGAUUGUUGUGGAUCUGCUGCUGAAUCAGGCCCCAGAGCAAAAGCCUCUCCCAAAACCACUACUGGGGUCCCUAGAGAGUGUCCCAACCCCAGAGAGAAAUCAUCAGACAGGGAAAGCUUUCAUUUCCUUUCUGUCUUUGCCUUCUCCAGGGCCAGGCUUGAUUAUUCCUUUCAGCAACACAAAGUGCUAGAGAGGCUCAGCAGCCAGAGAUCAAUUUUCUCUGCUCUUGGUGCAAUGUGUCUGUGCAGGGGGAAGUGGCUUUUUUCCUUCCCAUUGUGCUGAGACUUGGUGGGUGGCACCAGGGGCAGUGGCAGCUGCGUUACCAGAGGGAGGGUGGCAGGGAACGUGUGCCAGCCCUCACCUGGUGCUGUGCUGAUGGGGGUGUCAAAGCCUUUCACUCACAGCCACUGAAGAGCAAAGAUAUUGCUGGGAAAGAAAUCCCAGCUUGUCUCAGACAUCAGUAUCACUCUGAGGCACAGUGCAGGGUGGGACUCCACUGCUGCCUCUGCUCCUGCUGUGGCAUCCUCUCUCAUUCACCAUAAAGCACUUGCUAAUGGAGGACAACUUUCUUUCUAGGGAACAUGCAAAAAUUUGUCUCCACAGGAAUAAUAUACAAAGAUCUCAUGUUUAAGUGAUUGGAACGUAGUGGCAGCACAAGGUACGAAGACUGAACACAGAGAUGGUUCUCAAUUAUGCAGACAAGAUAAGGAAAAAAAAAUUAGAGAAUUUCAGAAUUUUAAGAAGAUCGGAAAGAAUUUGGCAUGGGAUUAAGUAUUAGAGAAAAUAUUAGAACAGCAAAAAAGCAGAUGAGAAAAGCCUGAGGAGUGAGGCAGAUGGACCAGAGUAAGGAAAGCUGCAAGGACUAACCAAGGGAUGAGCCCUGGCACUGUCCCCACAGCAUCCCAAGUCCACAUUCCCACACUGGAGCUGUGGCACAAGGCAGAGGGAAGAGAAUCCUCUCCCUGGCACUGGCAUGGCUGGACUUGCUCGGGGACUGCUGACAGUGACAGUCCAUGGCUGUGGGUCAAUGAGGCAGCGAGCCCUCGGUGUGCGUGGUGGCUCAGCCCAUGCAGGGCUCUUUGUUGGUCCAUCUGUGCAGGGUUGGAGGUGGUUGCCUGCUCCUGGAGGCUGGGAGGGAGCACCAGCCUGGCAGAGCCACAGUUUGCUUCCACCAGCCAAUGGUUUGAUCCUCUCCAGACUGUGCAAAUUAGGAAACUCUUUGAAACAGCAAAGUGUCACGCUGCAAUGCCAGGCAGCAGCCCUUUGCUUCUUCAGGCAGAAAUACAGCUGGGGUUUGGAUCACCAGCUUUUAUCCACAAAAUGCUCAAGCAAGUUCAUAAACUGCAGAACAAAAUACUGAAGACUGCAGGUAAUUAUGGCAGAGACCUCUGGAGUCCUCCCCAGCACGAGGAGCCCCAGCAAAGCUGUCAAUGGCUCCCACUGCUUCUGAUCCUGGCUGGCAAAUAUUAAUUUUGGUUUUUUCAAGUUGAGAAAUUAACUGCUUUGCAACCCCAUCUAAUUUGAAUACUCUAAUUAAGCAAUUUCGGCAUUUUUCUCCUCCCAGGACUUUCCCUGGCCAAGCACUUUAACCCCUUGGUUCCCAGGCUCCUGGAGCAGCCUCUGAGGUCUGCUGGUUUGGCUCCCUUGGAUGAUGAUGAUGGAUGCCACAUGUCACCCAGGCUGCAGCUCUCCAGGUGUUAUGAAGACCCUUGCUGGAGUCUGGAUUGUCUCCAAGCAGCCAGGUGUUCUUUCCAGGAAAGCUGACAGCUCUGGUGUGGAGGACACAGAGCUUUGUCCCAUUGCCCUCCCUUGACAGGGGAGCUGAUCAAGUGUCUCACCAUGAGCUCGCCGUGUUCCUGCUCUGCAGAUGGUUUUUUGGCUGCUGGCAAAGGCAGCCUGGGGGAAGCUCUGCCUGGCUCCCACUGCCCAUGGCUCUGCCACUGCACUGCUGUGGAAAGCCUUUCCCUCAGGCUGAUCUCUGGAGGCAUCUCAUCCAAGAUGUGCAGGGUGGCCAUUUGGGGACACGUGCCAGGCACAGGGACUCUGCUGAUGUGUUUGCACAUCCUCAGCUGUGGCUGGGGAAUAGAGGUGGAUGGGAAAGUGGGUGUCCUCAGCAUGGGGAACAGAGCCAUGCCAGGAACAUGGUCUGUGAUAUUCUGAUUUGAUAUUCCAUGACUCUAAAUCUAGUAGGAUGUGCCACCCUGCAGCAUUUGGUGACAGUGGCACUGGCCACUGGGAAGAAUCUCCCACACUCCAUGAGUGCUGCCAAAACUCAAAUAUUGUGCAUCCCAUGCUGGCCAGGAGUGAUGCUCCAGGAAAGGGCCACCAGUAUUCCAACAGAAAUGUCCCCGUGUCACCCCCCCAGGGCACUAAGGAGCCACGAGGACGAGGGGCUCGGCAGUCUCAGUGACACUGCCUGUCCCAGGGCUGGGGACAGCACAAGGCAGGGCUGUUCUGGUCUCAGGUCACUGCACAACCUGGCAGUGCCCGCCCAGGGACUCAGCACGCUUUAAUGAGCUCAGAGGCAGAGCCUGCAUGGAGGAAUUAACGACUCGGAAUAAUACUUGUCACUUCUCUGUGAGGAAAUUGUCAAGUGAAAAGCAAUUUACUAAAAAGGAGGGAGGAAAGAAAUGGUUUUGCUUAUUAAGAUCAACAUCAUAUUAAAGUAUUUUCUCAAUACCCCAUUUGGGUUGAAUUUUACAUUUUCUCUCUCUUGUUCUCACCAAAGGAAGUAAAGCAGGGGGUUUCACUCUAAUUAAUUGUUGUCUGCUUCAUUUGGCCAGCAAAUUUCAUGAGCAAGGUUACACAUUUCUAUAGCAUUUGAAUUGCAAAUGCUGCAGGAAUAUGAUAAAAAAAGGAAAACAUGUGGAAUUCUAAAAGCAAAUGGGAAUGCUUUCUGUAACACAUCAGUUUAAAAUUGCUUUAUGCUUACAAAUCUUAAAAAUAUAUCUUGACAGAGUAUUUACCUUCCCCCCUCCUUUAUUUUCAUUUGGAAUUUAAAGCAACAGGUUUGGUUUAUGUGUUCACAGUUGUCUUUUUUAGCCUUAAGGAGCUGUAUUUUCAGUUCUACUCUACUGUUGGCUAGAAACUUUAAAAUAUGUAUUUGUAUUUCUAUGAAGAAGCUGUCCCAUGUGUUGGUGAUUUAACAAAGGUAAAUCUGAGGACAGCCUCCCCUCAGCUUUGCAGAAAUCUGUGGAAGGUGGUACCCAGCAGGAGAGGCUGCUGUGCUGGCAUCAUGUCGGGUGUGUGCAGGACAGGCCACGCAGAGCCACGGAGCUGCAGCUCGGGGUGAGCCCAGCAGACCCGGAGAGAGCAGCUGGAGGCACCUCCCAGGCACUGCAGAAAGGAUUACAGCAGCCUGGACUGUGAAGGGCAACGAGGAGACAGCUCAAUGUCUGGAGAAAAUGUCUGGAGAAAAUAGGAAGAGGAAUGACCCGUGAAAGCACAUUUCUGGCUUGCUCACACGGAGCAGUGACUCAUCCCCAGCCCGAGCCCCAGGGAUGCUGAUCCAGCAUCAGAGGGAUACCAGGAGAGAGGGCUGCUGGGGAGGUGAGGGCUGCAGGCAGUGAGUGUGCCUGGGUGUAGCAACAGCACCUUCCCCUGUGGUGCUCUUCAGCUCCUGGGCCAAGCUCCUCUAAAUGCUGGUGAUCUGGUGCCUUGUCUGAGAGCCAAAGAGAGAUGCUGCUCCCAGAAAUCCCAAUAGUCUCCUUGCUGUAUCAAUUAUAUUUCAGUGCAGCCCUACUUCUUCAGAAUUGGUAAUUGCUUUGGAAAAUGUCCUUUACCUCUUUUGAAGCACCAUUAUGCCUUUUGUUGCAACUAAAGUAAUGGCUAAAAGCUGAGGGAUGGCAGAAAAUCAGAAAUUUCUGAGAAAGUCCUCAGGAUUUGUCUCUGACUCAUCUCUAUAUUGGCAAGAAAA